AAAAAAAAAAAAAGAAGAAAGAAAAGAAGAAACAAAAGU
rnacentral:ribozyme from 1 species